CUAGGAAUCAGCAGCAGCAGCAGCAAUCACAUCAAAUGGACGUCACAGACAGAAGACCUGAGCCUAGGAACCGGCAAGGGGAACGCUCACAUCAAAUGGCUGUCACAGACAGAAGACCUCAGCCUGGGAACCGGCGGUUUGAGAGUUCACGUCAAACAGAACAUGAACAUGUGUACGAGACAAUGUCACAGAUUUACGAAGAUGCGAUAUAAAAUCAGCUUUCUGCUUUAAAAGGUUAUAAUAAAAAGAAGAAUAAUGAAACUACACAACCAGUUGGAAGAAGGGGAAAGACUCUGAUUGUCUUACAUUUUAAUUAAGUUAUUUUUAYAUUGUAUGUUUACUGUUUGUUUUUUCUUUUACUUUUUUUCUGYUGUUAUUUAAUAGAUUAACAAAGACAAAUAAAAUUUACACUCCAUAAAAAAUCUGCCAAUAAUGUCUAUAAAUGGAUAAGCUAUUGUGUUUGAAAUCUGCAACAAUAAAAACAUUUCAUAAGCCUUUAAUAAAUCUUAAGUCUGACAACAAUACCCUGGCUCAUGGUGGUGAUGGGGCGACCAUCAGUUUUUAUGACCUCUCUAUUCAGUUCCAUAUAUAUUAAUAGUAUUAAUACUCCCUCAUURGAGUACAGAUUGCUUAUAUUCACAGAGCUUUUUAUUUUAAAACAUAUGGGCUUUGGCUCAGCCUC